rnacentral:lncRNA from 1 species
CUCAAGCUGGUGGCCAGUGUCCUCCCCCCUCCUUCUCCUCCCCUCCCCCACCUUGGGUUGCCCUGGUUGCCACAUGGAUCUGGUGGUCACCCCCUCCCUGGGUAGACCUGGUGGCCCCUUCCCCUGGGUAGACUUGGUGGCCAGUUCCCCAGGGUAGACCUGAUGGUCACUCCUUCCUUGGGUAGACCUGGUGGCCAGUUCUUCCACAGGUAGACCCCGUGGCCAGUUCCCCUGGGUAGACCUGGUGGCCUUUUCCUCCCUGCCUAGACCAGGUGGCCACUUCCCUCGGUCUGGUGGCCACUUCCCCUUGGUAGCCAAGGUGACCAGCUCCUCCCUCAGUAGACCUGGUGGCCACCUCCUCCCUGGGUAGACUUGGUGGUCAGUUCUUCCAUGGCUAGACCUGGUGGCCCCUUCCCUGGGUCUGGUGGCCACUUCCCCUCAGUAGCCACGGUGGCCACCUCCUCCAUGGUUCGAGCCGGUGGCCAGUGUCCUCCCCCCUCCUUCUCCUCCCCCCCCUGCCUUGGGUUGCCCUGGUGGCCACAUGGAUCUGGUGGCCACCUCCUCCUGGGUAGACCAGGUGACCAGUUCUUCCACAGGUAGACCUGGUGGCCAGUUCCACUGGGUAGACCUGGUGGCCUUCUCCUCCCUGCCUAGACCCGGUGGCCACUUCCCUGGGUCUGGUGGCCACUUCCCCUCGGUAGCCAUGCUGGCCACCUCCUCUAUGCCUCAAGCUGGUGGCCAGUGUCCUCCCCCCUCCUUCUCCUCCCCUCCCCCACCUUGGGUUGCCCUGGUGGCCACAUGGAUCUGGUGGUCACCCCCUCCCUGGGUAGACCUGGUGGCCCCUUCCCCUGGGUAGACUUGGUGGCCAGUUCCCCAGGGUAGACCUGAUGGUCACUCCUUCCUUGGGUAGACCUGGUGGCCAGUUCCCCUGGGUAGACCUGGUGGCCAGUUCUUCCACGGGUAGACCUGGUGACCAGUUUCCCCUGGGUAGGCCUGGUGGCCAGUUCCACUGGGUAGACCUGGUGGCCUUCUCCUCCCUGCCUAGACCCGGUGGCCACUUCCCUGGGUCUGGUGGCCACUUCCCCUCAGUAGCCAUGAUGGCCACCUCCUCCAUGGCUCGAGCAGUGGCCACCCCCUCCCUCGGUUGACCUGGUGGCCCCUUCCCCUGGGUAGACCCAGUGGCCACCUCCUCCCUGGGUAGACCUGGUGGUCAGUUCUUCCAUGGGUAGACCUGGUGACCAGUUGAUCUGGGUCGACCUGGUGGCCAGUUUUUUCCAUGGGUAGACCUGGUGGCCAGUUCCACUGGGUAGACCUGGUGGCCAUCUCCUCCUUGCCUAGACUUGGUGGCCACUUCCCUGGGUCUGGUGGCCACUUCCCUGGUGUCCACCCCCUCCCUGGGUAGACCUGGUGGCCAGUUUUUCCAUGGAUAGACCUGGUGGCCAGUUCCACUGGGUAGACCUGGUGGCCUUCUCCUCCCUGCCUAGACCCGGUGGCCACUUCCCUGGGUCUGGUGGCCACUUCCCCUCAGUAGCCAUGAUGGCCACCUCCUCCAUGGCUCGAGCAGGUGGCCAGUGUCCUCCUCCCUCCUUCUCCUCCUCCCCCCCGCCUUGGCUUGCCCUGGUGGCCACAUGGAUCUGGUGGUCACCCCCUCCCUGGGUAGACCUGGUGGCCCCUUCCCCUGGGUAGACUUGGUGGCCAGUUCCCCAGGGUAGACCUGAUGGUCACUCCUUCCUUGGGUAGACCUGGUGGCCAGUUCCCCUGGGUAGACCUGGUGGCCAGCUCUUCCAUGGGUAGACCUGGUGACCAGUUCCACUGGGUAGACCUGGUGGCCAGUUUUUCCAUGGGUAGACCUGGUG